UACGGGGGGGGCAAGCGUUGUUCGGAAUUACUGGGCGUAAAGGGUUUGUAGGUGGCUUGCUAAGUCAGACGUGAAAUCCCUCAGCUUAACUGGGGAACUGCGUCUGAGACUGGCAAGCUUGAGUGCAGGAGAGGAACGCGGAAUUCCAGGUGUAGCGGUGAAAUGCGUAGAUAUCUGGAGGAACACCGGUGGCGAAGGCGGCAUCCUGGACCAACACUGACGCUGAGUGAGCGAAAGCCAGGGGAGCAAACGGG
rnacentral:rRNA from 1 species